rnacentral:tRNA from 1 species
GACCAAAUAGCUCAGUGGUUAGAGCACCCGGUCGAGAAAAACCUGGGAGGUCCAGGGUUCAAUCCCCUGUCUGGUUG